CACGUCGAACAGAGCGUACACGUCCGCUCAAUUUGCCCUGAAGACGGUUGACGCAGAUCAACCGAAAUAUAUUGGACGAAAUCGAAAUAAAAGCUUUUUAUUUAUUUUGG